rnacentral:rRNA from 1 species
GACGAACGCUGGCGGCGUGCCUAAUACAUGCAAGUAGAACGCUGAAGAGAGGAGCUUGCUCUUCUUGGAUGAGUUGCGAACGGGUGAGUAACGCGUAGGUAACCUGCCUUGUAGCGGGGGAUAACUAUUGGAAACGAUAGCUAAUACCGCAUAACAAUGGAUGACACAUGUCAUUUAUUUGAAAGGGGCAAUUGCUCCACUACAAGAUGGACCUGCGUUGUAUUAGCUAGUAGGUGAGGUAAUGGCUCACCUAGGCGACGAUACAUAGCCGACCUGAAAGGGUGAUCGGCCACACUGGGACUGAGACACGGCCCAGACUCCUACGGGAGGCAGCAGUAGGGAAUCUUCGGCAAUGGGGGCAACCCUGACCGAGCAACGCCGCGUGAGGGAAGAAGGUUGUCGGAUCGUAAAGCUCUGUUGUAAGUCAAGAACGGGUGUGAGAGUGGAAAGUUCACACUGUGACGGUAGCUUACCAGAAAGGGACGGCUAACUACGUG